rnacentral:lncRNA from 10 species
AAACUGUUAAUUAUGGCAUUUAUAUAUCAAGAUGAGGAUGAAAUAAAGAGAAUGAAAUAUUUCCCAAGGUCAUAACAUUGAAUGUUUAUUCUUCAGUUUCACUAAAAUUAACAGGCCCAGAAGUAAAUCCUUCUACUGUCUCAGAGUUACAUUGUUCUUUCCUGGUGACAAAUUAAGUGUUCCAAGAAAUUAUAAUUUGACAUUCCCUUUAUAUUUUCUUAGAACAAUGCAUGUUGGAAUGAUGCCAAGAAUAUUGGAAUUUAAAACCAAAUAAAAAAAAGUAAUGACUGAGUCCAUCAAGAAAAAAAGAUUCUGCCUCUGAAUUGCUAGCUGCAGCACUGCUUUUUGAUCACUUUUGCACAAUUCGUAGCAUAGAGCUGCUACUGUUGUUCUUUAAUACAGCUUUUUACAUAUAAAUUAGCUUCUGGUGCCCUCAAGGUAAAUGUCCUCAGUUUAUCUUUAUUGAGAAAAAAAAAGUGAUAGCCAUUUAAUUUACAGGAUUGAAGCCCUUCCACAGUAAUAAGGUCUUGCUGUCAUCUGGGGAGAAGUCAUAAGGGAUUUUGACCACUGGUGUACAUUUUCCUUGUGGAACAUGGAACUUCUAAGCAUCUGAUGAUAAAUUCGUAGAUUCUUUUAUCCUGUGCAUCCUCCAUCUUCCUCCUUCAUCUUUAGGAAGGGGCUAGGCUCCAACUCGCUCACACAAUACCAUCACCACUGAACUUGGCGGUACUCUUCCGAUGAUUUCCAUUUGUUGGAAACUUGACACAGGAAUUGGUGUUGGUGCAGAGGUGGAAGACGGACACAGUCUGCUGCUGAGGCCAUAAGAGGUGAUAAUAUAGAUGCAUUAGGCUGUCUAGUACCUACACCACCCUUUGUUUCUACAUGGAAUCUUCGUCAGUUAGAUCAGUAUGUCCUAAUACUGAUUCUUGAGGUCUCACCACAUCCAAAUGUUGUUUGGCACAGUUUCUACUUGCAUUUCCACCAUAUCUUAUGUCAUUGAGGCCCCUCAGUUUUCUUACUGAGUCUAUCAGCCCCACAGG